rnacentral:rRNA from 1 species
CCUACGGGGGGCAGCAGUGGGGAAUAUUGCACAAUGGGCGCAAGCCUGAUGCAGCCAUGCCGCGUGUGUGAAGAAGGCCUUCGGGUUGUAAAGCACUUUCAGCGGGGAGGAAGGCGGUGAGGUUAAUAACCUCAUCGAUUGACGUUACCCGCAGAAGAAGCACCGGCUAACUCCGUGCCAGCAGCCGCGGUAAUACGGAGGGUGCAAGCGUUAAUCGGAAUUACUGGGCGUAAAGCGCACGCAGGCGGUCUGUCAAGUCGGAUGUGAAAUCCCCGGGCUCAACCGGGGAACUGCAUUCGAAACUGGCAGGCUAGAGUCUUGUAGAGGGGGGUAGAAUUCCAGGUGUAGCGGUGAAAUGCGUAGAGAUCUGGAGGAAUACCGGUGGCGAAGGCGGCCCCCUGGACAAAGACUGACGCUCAGGUGCGAAAGCGUGGGGAGCAAACAGGAUUAGAUACCCCUGUAGUC